GAUCGAACCUUCUUGCAGCUUGACAUUUUGCAAAGAAAAAAAGAAAAAAAUGGAAUUUACUUUGAUUGCUGGUGGAAUUUUGGAAAAGCUGUUCCGGGAUAAUGUGAAACGGCAGAUUUUAUGCAAUUCGUCGUGAAUGGAUUUUACUCGGAGGCAUUCGCAGAUCCAGCCCAAUAACUCCCAGUACCGAUGACCUCCGACAGCUUCAACUUCAUCAUUGUUGAAAACCUCCGGUAGAGCUGAAGAUGAAGAAGAAGAAGAACGGUGUCCUUUAACAAAAUUUUGAGGCAUAGUUCCGGUAUUCCACGACUGCUGCUGAUGGCCAGCACUAUGUUUUCAUCUUUCUGAGGUUCACCAACAGCUGCUGCAGCAACUUGUUUUUAUUGACCUUCGGAAGUGCCAGUGAGUAGAGCAUGGUGAAGGAUGUUUUAGCCUUGGUUUUUUGUUCUAUAUUUUUUCUUGAUUAAUUCGCAUUUUCCCAUUUUAUUGGGUUCUUCCCACCAAGUGUGUGAUCGUAAAUUAAACUGCGGUUUUCUUUCGAACCAGCAAAACCUCAGUUUAAUUUCCGAUACCACACUUGGUGGAAAGAAUCUAUUAGGAUGGGAAUGGCUGCUUGGCAUGAUAAUUGGAGGGUAAGAGUCUUAGGGUCGGUGAUAGAUAUUUGAUGAAUAAAAAAAUCUACAGUAAACGCAUAACCGCCUUCUUAUUUCUAAACGGUUUUAAUACAGCAGAACCAUAUUUCAUAAGCUAAAAAUACAUUGAAAGACCAUCAAUCAACAAUAACACAUACAGUGGUCGUUUUCUUUCAAAUUUAUUGUAAAAUUGUUCUCUAACCAUUUGCUGUGCAGUAAAUGCUAUGAAAAACUGGAUAAUAUAUUGACCGUAUCCUUUACUGUAUUGCGAAAAAUUUGUUCGAGAAAACGAGCGAUUUUUUAUGGUAACCUAUCUUAACCGCCUAUUCCACAUACUGUAAUUUGGCGGAUUACCAUUUGUCAAACUGGCAAAUAUGUACAUAGAAUGGUUAGCUUACUGUUAGCUUGGACAGUCUGAGAAAUGGUUUUAUGUCAAUUGGUAAUAGUCAUCAACAGUAUGAGAAACGUUGCAUUUAC